UUGGAGGGCAAGUCUGGUGCCAGCAGCCGCGGUAAUUCCAGCUCCAAUAGCGUAUAUUAAAGUUGUUGCAGUUAAAAAGCUCGUAGUUGAACUUCGGGAUUCAUCCGUUGGUCGGGCUUCACGGUCCGCACUGGUGUGAUGGGUUCCUACCUUCUGAAUAACCGGCAUGCCAUUAAUUUGGUGCGCCGGGGAAGCAGAACUAUUACCUUGAUAAAAUUAGAGUGCUUAGAGCAGGCAAGUGCCUGAAUAGGUUAGCAUGGAAUAAUAAAAUAGGACGGCAUGGUUCUAUUUUGUUGGUUUCUAGGAUCACCGUAAUGAUUAAUAGGGAUAGUUGGGGGCAUUAGUAUUCAAUUGUCAGAGGUGAAAUUCUUGGAUUUAUUGAAGACUAACUUCUGCGCAAGCAUUUGCCAAGGAUGUUUUCAUUAAUCAAGAACGAAAGUUAGGGGAUCGAAGAUGAUCGGAUACCGUCGUAGUCUUAUCCAUAAACUAUGCCGACUAGGGAUCGGACGAUGUUAAUUUUUUAAUGACUCGUUCGGCGCCUUACGGGAAACCAAAGUGUUUGGGUUC
rnacentral:rRNA from 1 species